rfam:Pseudomonas fluorescens Pf-5, complete genome.
GGGCAGCUCGGCAAGGAUGCCGAGCUAGCCGCCACCCGGCCAUGGAUGGCCGGUUGGCGGCGGCCCC